rnacentral:rRNA from 1 species
GGGUUGUGAGGUUAAGCGACUAAGCGUACACGGUGGAUGCCCUGGCAGUCAGAGGCGAUGAAGGACGUGCUAAUCUGCGAUAAGCGUCGGUAAGGUGAUAUGAACCGUUAUAACCGGCGAUUUCCGAAUGGGGAAACCCAGUGUGAUUCGUCACACUAUCAUUAACUGAAUCCAUAGGUUAAUGAGGCGAACCGGGGGAACUGAAACAUCUAAGUACCCCGAGGAAAAGAAAUCAACCGAGAUUCCCCCAGUAGCGGCGAGCGAACGGGGAGCAGCCCAGAGCCUGAAUCAGUGUGUGUGUUAGUGGAAGCGUCUGGAAAGGCGCGCGAUACAGGGUGACAGCCCCGUACACAAAAAUGCACAUGCUGUGAGCUCGAUGAGUAGGGCGGGACACGUGGUAUCCUGUCUGAAUAUGGGGGGACCAUCCUCCAAGGCUAAAUACUCCUGACUGACCGAUAGUGAACCAGUACCGUGAGGGAAAGGCGAAAAGAACCCCGGCGAGGGGAGUGAAAAAGAACCUGAAACCGUGUACGUACAAGCAGUGGGAGCACGCUUAGGCGUGUGACUGCGUACCUUUUGUAUAAUGGGUCAGCGACUUAUAUUCUGUAGCAAGGUUAACCGAAUAGGGGAGCCGAAGGGAAACCGAGUCUUAACUGGGCGUUAAGUUGCAGGGUAUAGACCCGAAACCCGGUGAUCUAGCCAUGGGCAGGUUGAAGGUUGGGUAACACUAACUGGAGGACCGAACCGACUAAUGUUGAAAAAUUAGCGGAUGACUUGUGGCUGGGGGUGAAAGGCCAAUCAAACCGGGAGAUAGCUGGUUCUCCCCGAAAGCUAUUUAGGUAGCGCCUCGUGAAUUCAUCUCCGGGGGUAGAGCACUGUUUCGGCAAGGGGGUCAUCCCGACUUACCAACCCGAUGCAAACUGCGAAUACCGGAGAAUGUUAUCACGGGAGACACACGGCGGGUGCUAACGUCCGUCGUGAAGAGGGAAACAACCCAGACCGCCAGCUAAGGUCCCAAAGUCAUGGUUAAGUGGGAAACGAUGUGGGAAGGCCCAGACAGCCAGGAUGUUGGCUUAGAAGCAGCCAUCAUUUAAAGAAAGCGUAAUAGCUCACUGGUCGAGUCGGCCUGCGCGGAAGAUGUAACGGGGCUAAACCAUGCACCGAAGCUGCGGCAGCGACGCUUAUGCGUUGUUGGGUAGGGGAGCGUUCUGUAAGCCUGUGAAGGUGUACUGUGAGGUAUGCUGGAGGUAUCAGAAGUGCGAAUGCUGACAUAAGUAACGAUAAAGCGGGUGAAAAGCCCGCUCGCCGGAAGACCAAGGGUUCCUGUCCAACGUUAAUCGGGGCAGGGUGAGUCGACCCCUAAGGCGAGGCCGAAAGGCGUAGUCGAUGGGAAACAGGUUAAUAUUCCUGUACUUGGUGUUACUGCGAAGGGGGGACGGAGAAGGCUAUGUUGGCCGGGCGACGGUUGUCCCGGUUUAAGCGUGUAGGCUGGUUUUCCAGGCAAAUCCGGAAAAUCAAGGCUGAGGCGUGAUGACGAGGCACUACGGUGCUGAAGCAACAAAUGCCCUGCUUCCAGGAAAAGCCUCUAAGCAUCAGGUAACAUCAAAUCGUACCCCAAACCGACACAGGUGGUCAGGUAGAGAAUACCAAGGCGCUUGAGAGAACUCGGGUGAAGGAACUAGGCAAAAUGGUGCCGUAACUUCGGGAGAAGGCACGCUGAUAUGUAGGUGAAGUCCCUCGCGGAUGGAGCUGAAAUCAGUCGAAGAUACCAGCUGGCUGCAACUGUUUAUUAAAAACACAGCACUGUGCAAACACGAAAGUGGACGUAUACGGUGUGACGCCUGCCCGGUGCCGGAAGGUUAAUUGAUGGGGUUAGCGGUAACGCGAAGCUCUUGAUCGAAGCCCCGGUAAACGGCGGCCGUAACUAUAACGGUCCUAAGGUAGCGAAAUUCCUUGUCGGGUAAGUUCCGACCUGCACGAAUGGCGUAAUGAUGGCCAGGCUGUCUCCACCCGAGACUCAGUGAAAUUGAACUCGCUGUGAAGAUGCAGUGUACCCGCGGCAAGACGGAAAGACCCCGUGAACCUUUACUAUAGCUUGACACUGAACAUUGAGCCUUGAUGUGUAGGAUAGGUGGGAGGCUUUGAAGUGUGGACGCCAGUCUGCAUGGAGCCGACCUUGAAAUACCACCCUUUAAUGUUUGAUGUUCUAACGUUGACCCGUAAUCCGGGUUGCGGACAGUGUCUGGUGGGUAGUUUGACUGGGGCGGUCUCCUCCUAAAGAGUAACGGAGGAGCACGAAGGUUGGCUAAUCCUGGUCGGACAUCAGGAGGUUAGUGCAAUGGCAUAAGCCAGCUUGACUGCGAGCGUGACGGCGCGAGCAGGUGCGAAAGCAGGUCAUAGUGAUCCGGUGGUUCUGAAUGGAAGGGCCAUCGCUCAACGGAUAAAAGGUACUCCGGGGAUAACAGGCUGAUACCGCCCAAGAGUUCAUAUCGACGGCGGUGUUUGGCACCUCGAUGUCGGCUCAUCACAUCCUGGGGCUGAAGUAGGUCCCAAGGGUAUGGCUGUUCGCCAUUUAAAGUGGUACGCGAGCUGGGUUUAGAACGUCGUGAGACAGUUCGGUCCCUAUCUGCCGUGGGCGCUGGAGAACUGAGGGGGGCUGCUCCUAGUACGAGAGGACCGGAGUGGACGCAUCACUGGUGUUCGGGUUGUCAUGCCAAUGGCACUGCCCGGUAGCUAAAUGCGGAAGAGAUAAGUGCUGAAAGCAUCUAAGCACGAAACUUGCCCCGAGAUGAGUUCUCCCUGACUCCUUGAGAGUCCUGAAGGAACGUUGAAGACGACGACGUUGAUAGGCCGGGUGUGUAAGCGCAGCGAUGCGUUGAGCUAACCGGUACUAAUGAACCGUGAGGCUUAACCUUACAACGCCGAAG